rnacentral:rRNA from 1 species
AUUGAACGCUGGCGGCAUGCUUUACACAUGCAAGUCGAACGGCAGCACGGGUGCUUGCACCUGGUGGCGAGUGGCGGACGGGUGAGUAAUACAUCGGAACGUGUCCUGAAGUGGGGGAUAACGCAUCGAAAGAUGUGCUAAUACCGCAUAUACUCUGAGGAGGUAAAGUAGGGGAUCGAAAGACCUUAUGCUUUUGGAGCGGCCGAUGUCUGAUUAGCUAGUUGGUGGGGUAAUUGCCCACCAAGGCGACGAUCAGUAGUUGGUCUGAGAGGACGACCAGCCACACUGGGACUGAGACACGGCCCAGGACUCCUACGGGAGGCAGGCAGUGGGGAAUUUUGGACAAUGGGCGCAAGCCUGAUCCAGCAAUGCGCGUGAGUGA